UUCCGUCAGGCGUCCAGUGGGCAGCCCCGGCCCGGGGGUCCUCUCGGGGAGCUUUAAAUACCGAGGCCCCAGCACGGACCGCCCCACGUGGAGCAGAGCGGGGCUGGCUGGGGCCACGUGCGGGCUGACGGCUGCUCAGCAGUGAUCCCGCCAUGGAUGAGUGGUGGGGUGCCCAGGCGGGGCUGCUGUCCCUGGGGAGAGACCCCCCCCCACACACACACCGUGAUCUGACCUGGGGGAGGCUGGAGGAAUGGAGCUGCGAUACUGCCCUGCAGAGACCCAUGCUCACUGGGGUGCAGUGAGCCCCCUGGCUGGUGCUGUGCAGUGACCAUGGGGUGGUGCUGGCGUUGUGGGGGUAAAAAUUCACCAAGACUGUGACCUACCCCACACUUCUGCAAGGACCUCCCUGCAGCCCCCCAGACUGGUGCCAAGACCCUGCAUGUGCUGAGGAGUCAGGAUUCUUGGGUUCUGUUGCCAGUGCGCCCCCUGCCGCCGCCUUGAGGCCUGCUGAUCGGGGGUGUGGGGUUCACAUACUCUCCCUGCUGAUCCCCCAGCAGCUCCUGUCCUGCCAAUAAAGUCGUGUUGGUCUGAAUGGAGCCCUGGGCUGAGUUGCUUGUGGUCCUGGGGGGGAUUGGAGAGGGGUGGCCCAGGGCCCUCUCACAUCAGCUGGGGAAAAAUGACUUCUGGGGCUGGGACCUUGCUCAGUGGCUGCUCGGCCUUGGUACGGUGGGGAGCGGGUACCUUGCUGCUUACCGCUGCCCUGUGCCCCCUUGCCAUGGGGCGGGGGGGACCUCCCC